rnacentral:rRNA from 1 species
ACAUGCCUACAACAUAGCAUUAAUGUACCAGAACUCAUUGGAACUCUGUAGUUAAGUGCACUUGGGAUAGAGUAGUACUGGGAUGGGUGACUUCCUGGGAAUUCCUAGUGUUUUACAUGUC